CAGCACAUGGAAGUUCCCAGUCCAGGGGUCUAAGCGCAGCUGCAGCUGCCGGCCUACACCACAGCCACAGCAAUGCCGGAUCUGCGGGGCGCGUCUGUGACCUACACCACAGCUCAUGGCCACAUUGGAUCCUCCACCCACUGAGCGAGACCAGGGGUUGAACCCGUGUCCUCCUGGAUACUAGUUGGGGUGCAUUACCACUGAGCCACAAUGGGAGCACCAAAAAUAAGAUGUCCUUAAGCUUUCACUGAACUUCUAUCCAACCAUAAAAAGACACUGCUUGCAUGCAAAAAAAAAAAAGCUUUUAUUUUAAAAUGUAGUUGGCAUGCCAGCGGGCAGUAAAUGAGAUUAUUCCUAUAUUUCAUUGAAAGAAAUAUAGAUCAAGUUGGGGAGGCUGGAAAAGAGAAGAGGUAAAGUUGCCGGAAACAAUGUAGAACGAGGCAGGAAAAAUGUACCUCCUUCUGGUCGUACUGGGCAAACACUUGGCCAAGGACAUUAUGGAUCCGAACAGAACGUCUGCCCUGCCUUUACGUUACUGAGGAUACAUUCUCUUGGAGGCAUUGUGUGCGUGGUGUCUACGUUCUCUGAAGUAUUUUGUGUACAAUUUAUUAUAAUCCUAGGAAGAGAACUUACUCAACUCAAAGAAGAAAAUUUUGCUCGAUAAUGACACAGUGAUGAAUCAUGUUCUUUAUUUUCCCCCAAAGGACAUAGUUCGGAGACCCUGGGCUAAUAUGACGUGGCUUCCGACAUUCAAUUGGAAGGGAUGCACGGAAAUAAGCAGAUUAUCCUGGCAAGGUGGGCACGCUGGGAGGGGGCAGCUGGAGAUUCUGUGCCUGGGGGUUUCCUGACGCUGCCUUAUGCCUCUUCCUUUGGCUGAUCUGAAUCUUUAUCCUGCAAUAAACUGUGAUUGAGGGUCACUACAGCCUUCAGUGUGAGUUCUGUGGGUUCUGGCGAAGGAUCGAACCUGACAGUGGUCUCAAGCAUCCAGAACUUGCAAGUGGGGUCGGAAGUGAGGAUGACCUUGGCGACCCCCUAACUCUGCAAAAACACCCCCAUCACAUACGGCAUGUUCUUACCGAAAACGUGCGGCACAAGUCUCAGUACGAGAAAGAAGUAGACAAAUUCAGCAUGUGGAAGAGUUAAUAAAAACAACUUGCCUGAACUCUUCAUUUUGUCAACAAUAGAAAUCAGAUCAACAGGCGAACAAUCAAACAAGUGGAAAGAACUCCGCUGGUGCAAAGCACUAUGACAUUCAGGGGGAGACAGACACUGCUCCUCCUGAGCACAGAAGAGAACUCAGUUCAGACAUUUUAGGCCAGGGUAAGUCCCGUGCCCAUCCCCGACCUGCCAAGAUGUAAGGAGGGUUGGCUGCGCGUUGUCUGGAAUAAGCCUGGGAUAGGAAACCAGGCCUGGCGGAGCUGACGAGGUCGGUCUGGCUUGCUUAGCUUAUUCAGCUGUAAAUAUGUGAAUCUCUCAGGGUAAAUGAGCUAACUAUGUGAUUAGACAACAACCAUAGAAAAAAAUGCAAAUGAUUAGCAAAUGCAUAUAAAUUUUGAAAUGAUGGGAAUCCAAGACCACAGCUAGGAAUAUUGUGGCACAUGGGGGGAGAUGCUGAAAUCAGAAAUGUUGGGUUUUUUUGCCAAGCAUAAACAAAUUGAAUAGCUUCAAAAAAUCCAUGAUAUUCUCUUAAUACCAUAGAAUUAAAACAAAACGGCCCCUAUUUUGAAGUCUUUUGUAAGAAAAGAAGUCCCACCAGUCAGAGCAGUUUGGGUGGUUUACAUCACUGAUUGGCCCGGAAGAAAAUACACAUACUUGACCAGGUUUAUUUUUAAUUAUAGCAAAUAGGCUUAUUUCUCUUUGCUAUGAGAAAGAAAAAAACUACAACGAUAGAGAAUUAAAGUAGUGUCUGAAAUCCAAACAGGAAGACGAAACCCACCAACAAAGAUACAUCAUAACAGUGACUCAUUUUCUUUUCUUGGGGGAUUAUGCAUUCUCUCUAAAUCCUCCAAACACGACUAAAUACCAAUUUGUAAGUGUUCAUCGCUACAAAAUGGAAAACUGGUGAUAAACGCGAACAGAACAGAUAGCUGGCAUUUCCAGGGGAGCACUGAGUGCUGCAAUGAAUAACGUCGGCAAAAUCCAUUCUGGGAAGGGUUUCCUUAACCCAAUUGUCUCCGUAAACAUAAACCAUUGACUUUUGCAUCUGACAAAGCCCUGCAUCCAUGGAUUCAGCCCACGGCGGACUGCCAAUCAUUUCCCUGCUAACAUGGCACAAACACAAAAUAUGAAAACUCUUUUGAUUUUUAUGGGAAAGGAUCAAUUUUGCUUUUAACCUGCUCCGUCCCCUCACCGACCGUCAAGAACAGCGUACCCUUUAAAUGACACUUAAUUUAGCCUUCAUUUAUUUUCUGGCAAAUGACGCCAGGCAAAAUUGAAUUCAAUAAGGACCCAUCGUCCCCUCUUAACCUUCAUCCUUUCAAAGAUGCCAUAGCACAAAUCGUUGUCGCAUUUUACACUUUAUUUGUAGUGCGAGUCAUUGAAAGAGGGCUACUAAAAAUUAAAACAAAAAAUGAGCAUCACUGGUUUGUUCAAAGCGCCUCGGGCUUCAGGUUAAGGGAGAGGACAGGAGCGGGCAUGUGAACAAUUUACUAAAUGAAUCAUUCAGUGGAUCCAUUUGAAGCACAGGGAAGCAGAGGGAGAGUUGAAACUUGGAAAGUGAAAUUGGAAGAAGAACUGCACGUUGCGACUUCUCAGGUCAACCGCUCUCUCCAUCUUCACCGCAAAACAGCUACAGCUGCAAAAAAAGGAGCCCAUAGGAAACACCGCAGCCUCAUUAGGGAAAGGGGCCAGACGCUGGCAUUCAGCUCUGGAAAUGAAGUUGGAAAAUAUGAAGGGAAAAUCCAGGGCAGCCUGAGAACCAAGGGAGUAAAACAAUCUACAAUUAAUAUGCCCAGAAGAUGGAGUAUCCUGGCUCAGCAGUAAUGAACCCGACUAGGAACCAUGAGGUUGCAGGUUCGAUCCCUGGCCUCGAUCAGCAGGUUAAGGAUCCGGUGUUGCCGUGAGCUGUGGUGUAGGUCACAGACGCAGCUCGGUUCCUGCAUUGCUGUGGCUGUGGGGUAGGCUGGCAGCGACAGCUGAUUCAACCCUUAGCCUGGGAACUUCCAUAUGCCAAGGGUUAAAACAAACAAAAACAAACAAAAAGACAAAAAGAAAAAAAAAGCCCAGAAGAUGGAGAGGGAAGAUUGCGUCCACCAAGUGAAAACAGGCAGCAGGAAAAAGGAAAAAUCAUGGCACAUGAAAGAUGCCAGGGGACUUUAGAAGAAGGAAGCCAAUACCAGGGUUUGACAGUAAAGGCAGGAAAUUUUCUCUGAAUUAGUGUAAAAACAUAGAGAAGAGAAAUGUUUUUCAAAUGUAACUAAAAUAAAAUAAAAGCAAGCAAUUGUGUGCAAAAUCCUACAUAUCAUCCCUCUGUCUGUGUAAAAUGAUGGAGACAAAUGUGUUAAGAAAAUAGUACCAGAAAAAAUGCUGGAAUAGAACUCAACAAUGCUGUCUUGAAAUUUUACUCAGCAUCCCACAGAUUGAAUGAAAUGAUCUAAAUGAAGAUUUCCAUUUGUGAAAUCUGGAGUUCCUGUCAUGGCUCAGUGGUUAAUGAACCUGGGUAGCAUCCAUGAGGACGCACGGGUUCGAUCCCUGGCCUCGCUCAGUGGGUUAAGGAUCCAGGGUUGCUGUGGCUGCGGUGUAGGUGGGCAGCUGCAGCUCUGAUUCGACCCCUAGCCUGGGAACCUCCAUAUGCUUUUAACCUUUACAAAACCUUUACUAAAAAAAAAAAAAAAAAAAAAAAAAAAAAGAUUUCCCUUUGUGAAAUCUGAAAAUACCAAGGGGGAAGAAAAAACUGUAAUACCUUACAGAAAUAAAAGCAAGUUUCCUACAGAGACAGAGAAAUCAAAACAAAUUCAUUCUUCUCCACCUCAGUGGACUUUGGAGGAGAAGUUAAAAUCGAAGCCCCUCAUGCUUCCCAAACACCGGAAGCUGGGAGUCCAAUGAGAUGCAGCUUUCGAGUUCUGAAAGGAGACAGUUUUCCCCUUAGAAGUUACGCUCCUCAGCUCUCAGGUGAGGGGGAUAGGUAUCCUCAGACCUUCAGUGUCUCAGAGAGCUCACCCCCCCACCCAGGCCCUUUGCUUUGGGGUCAGGGUCCUUUAGGUUUUCACGCCUGGCCGUCCUCCUCCUGACCUUCCCGCAUUCUCCACGUUCACCUCCAAGCCGGAUUUCUUCCCCGCCUCCCCUUCCCCCUCAUCCCAGCCGCCCCGCCCCACAGAGCAUCCUCAAACGCAGCCCUCGCAGAGCAGGCCCCUCACUUCUUCCUGAGAUACGUUCAUCCCUCUCGAUGACCCCAAACUUCCCAUGGCUUCUCAUCACACGUAGGCUAUGGAUGCAGGACCUUCCUGCAGCAGGAAGCCUCUGGUCCUGCAGCUGGCAUUUUAGAAGGCGAAGCUUCUCCAAAAUCCAUCAUGCCUUGGUCCUAACACAAUGGCCUCUUGUUGUUUUUUCUUGGUCACAGGAAACCCUUGCCUUUAGCGGGAUCUUAUCCACGCUCUUCACUUUGCCUGGUUGAUACUCUUUCAAAUGCCAUCCAUCCAAUUCCUGCUCAUUUAAACUUCCUGUCUCCCAACGUACUGGACUUUUAAUUAAAGCAGUGACUGUGUUCAUUUUUGACACCACUGUAUGGUGUCAAAAUGCAGAAAAAAUUAACCAUCACAACAGCUAGCGAGAGAUUUAGGUAAAGUUGACCAAGUAUGUGGUCAUUCCAACGUUGCAGGGUCUGUAAGGAAAGUAUUCUAUUCCAACUCCCGGUGCAGAGCAGGUAUACUGACAAUAUUCUCUUUCUUUUUAAAAAUUUUUAUUGAAGUAUAGUUGAUUUGCAAUGAUGUGUUGAUUUCUGCUUUACAGCAAAGUGAUUCAAGUACAUACAUAUACACAUACUCCAUUCCCACGUAGGUUAUCACGGAAUGUAGGUUAUCGCGGAAUGUAGGUUAUCACGGAAUGUUUAUCGCGGAAUAAUGAGUGGAAUUCCUCAUGCUCUACAGCAGAUGCCUGUCCUUUCCACGUG
rnacentral:lncRNA from 1 species